rnacentral:rRNA from 1 species
GACGAACGCUGGCGGCGUGCUUAACACAUGCAAGUCGAACGGAAAGGCCCUGCUUUUGUGGGGUGCUCGAGUGGCGAACGGGUGAGUAACACGUGAGUAACCUGCUCUUGACUUUGGGAUAACUUCAGGAAACUGGGGCUAAUACCGGAUAGGAGCUCCUGCUGCAUGGUGGGGGUUGGAAAGUUUCGGUGGUUGGGGAUGGACUCGCGGCUUAUCAGCUUGUUGGUGGGGUAGUGGCUUACCAAGGCUUUGACGGGUAGCCGGCCUGAGAGGGUGACCGGCCACAUUGGGACUGAGAUACGGCCCAGACUCCUACGGGAGGCAGCAGUGGGGAAGAUUGCACAAUGGGCGGAAGCCUGAUGCAGCAACGCCGCGUGCGGGAUGGCGGCCUUCGGGUUGUAAACCGCUUUCGCCUGUGACGAAGCGUGAGUGACGGUAAUGGGUAAAGAAGCACCGGCUAACUACGUG